rnacentral:tRNA from 1 species
AUUUAUAUAAUUUAUACAGAAUAUUGCACUGAAGCUGCAAAAGAGACUAAUAUUGUCUGUAAAUA